AUACGUAGGUGGCAAGCGUUGUCCGGAAUUAUUGGGCGUAAAGCGCGCGCAGGCGGUCCUUUAAGUCUGAUGUGAAAGCCCACGGCUCAACCGUGGAGGGUCAUUGGAAACUGGGGGACUUGAGUGCAGAAGAGGAAAGUGGAAUUCCAAGUGGAGCGGUGAAAUGCGUAGAGAUUUGGAGGAACACCAGUGGCGAAGGCGACUUUCUGGUCUGUAACUGACGCUGAGGCGCGAAAGCGUGGGGAGAAAACAGGAUUAGAUACCCGGGUAGUCCACGCCGUAAACGAUGAGUGCUAAGUGUUAGGGGGUUUCCGCCCCUUAGUGCUGCAGCUAACGCAUUAAGCACUCCGCCUGGGGAGUACGGUCGCAAGACUGAAACUCAAAUGAAUUGACGGGG
rnacentral:rRNA from 1 species